UACGUAGGGGGCAAGCGUUGUCCGGAAUCAUUGGGCGUAAAGCGCGUGUAGGCGGUUCGGGAAGUCGGCUGUGAAAGUCCAGGGCUCAACCCUGGGAUGCCGGUCGAUACUGCCGGACUAGAGUCCGGAAGAGGCAAGUGGAAUUCCCGGUGUAGCGGUGAAAUGCGCAGAUAUCAGGAGGAACACCGGUGGCGAAGGCGGUUCUCUGGGCAUUACCUGACGCUGAGGAGCGAAAGUGUGGGGAGCGAACAGG
rnacentral:rRNA from 1 species